UGGGGAAUAUUGGACAAUGGGCGAAAGCCUGAUCCAGCCAUGCCGCGUGUGUGAAGAAGGCCUUUUGGUUGUAAAGCACUUUAAGCGAGGAGGAGGCUACUUGGAUUAAUACUCUAGGAUAGUGGACGUUACUCGCAGAAUAAGCACCGGCUAACUCUGUGCCAGCAGCCGCGGUAAUACAGAGGGUGCGAGCGUUAAUCGGAUUUACUGGGCGUAAAGCGUGCGUAGGCGGCUUCUUAAGUCGGAUGUGAAAUCCCUGAGCUUAACUUAGGAAUUGCAUUCGAUACUGGGAAGCUAGAGUAUGGGAGAGGAUGGUAGAAUUCCAGGUGUAGCGGUGAAAUGCGUAGAGAUCUGGAGGAAUACCACUGGCGAAGGCAGCCAUCUGGCCUAAUACUGACGCUGAGGUACGAAAGCAUGGGGAGCAAACAGG
rnacentral:rRNA from 1 species